rnacentral:rRNA from 1 species
AACGAACGCUGGCGGCAUGCCUAACACAUGCAAGUCGAACGAAGCCUUCGGGCUUAGUGGCGCACGGGUGCGUAACACGUGGGAAUCUGCCCUUUGGUUCGGAAUAACAGUUAGAAAUGACUGCUAAUACCGGAUAAUGACGUAAGUCCAAAGAUUUAUCGCCGAAGGAUGAGCCCGCGUAGGAUUAGGUAGUUGGUGGGGUAAAUGGCCCACCAAGCCGACGAUCCUUAGCUGGUCUGAGAGGAUGAUCAGCCACACUGGGACUGAGACACGGCCCAGACUCCUACGGGAGGCAGCAGUGGGAAUAUUGGACAAUGGGCGAAAGCCUGAUCCAGCAAUGCCGCGUGAGUGAUGAAGGCCUUAGGGUUGUAAAGCUCUUUUACCAGGGAUGAUAAUGACAGUACCUGGAGAAUAAGCUCCGGCUAACUCCGUGCCAGCAGCCGCGGUAAU